rnacentral:rRNA from 1 species
CAAAAACAUGUCCUUUUGAUGAUUUAUUUAAGGUUUGGCCUGCCCAAUGAUUAAAUUUAAUGGCUGCGGUAUUUUAACCGUACUAAGGUAGCAUAAUCAUUAGUCUUUUAAUUGAAGGCUGGAAUGAAAGGUUGGAUGAGGCAUAAGCUUUCUUUAAUAUAAUUGAUGAAUUUAAUUUUUUAGUUAAAAAGCUAAAAUUUGUUUGUAGGACGAGAAGACCCUAUAGAUUUUUAUAUUUAAGAUGUUUUGUAAGAUUAGUUGUUGAUAUUAUGGAAUAUUUUAUUUAUUAGGUUGGGGUGAUUUUGAAAUUUAUAUAACUUUUAAUUAUUUGUUUUCAUUGUUUUAUGUUUAUAUGAUCCGUUAUUAAUGAUUAUAAGAUUAAGUUACCUUAGGGAUAACAGCGUUAUUUUUUCGGAAAGUUCUUAUUGAUGAAAAAGUUUGCGACCUCGAUGUUGGAUUAAAAUAAGUAAAGGGCGCAGUAGUUCUUUAACUAGGUCUGUUCGACCUUUAAUUUUUUACAUGAUCUG